rnacentral:rRNA from 1 species
UACGAAGGGGGGCUAGCGUUGUUCGGAAUUACUGGGCGUAAAGCGCGCGCAGGCGGCUAUCCAAGUCAGUGAUGAAAGCCCGGAGCUCAACUCCGGAACUGCCAUUGAAACUGUUUAGCUUGAGGACGAGAGAGGUGAGUGGAAUUCCCAGUGUAGAGGUGAAAUUCGUAGAUAUUGGGAAGAACACCGGUGGCGAAGGCGGCUCACUGGCUCGUAUCUGACGCUCAGGCGCGACAGCGUGGGGGAUCAAACAGG